CGGGAAUCAAACCCACAUCCUCAUGGAUCCUAGUUGGGUUCUUAAUCCGCUGAGCCACAACAAAAUCUCCCUAAAUUUCGUAUAUUCUUGCCGACUGACCCCUGCUCUGGUUUUUCCGUCCGUGCAGGAACCAAAGCGCCUCCAGGGACACCAGACGCAUUUGGCAAACAGAACUGGCCGGGUACAGUCUCGUUCAUCUAAAUUGCUCUCUAUCUGCCCAGAAACGCCAGGAUACAUGUCGGCGUCAGGGGUGUUCACCUGGCAAACGGCAGCAGAGGCGGGAGAGGCAUCCCAAGGCACCGACGGAAGGCAGGGAUGCAGGAUGCCAGCCAGGGAGGCGGGUCUGCACGCCGUGCUCGCACCACACCCAUCGGGGACAGAUGCAGACCCCAGGACUCCUGGGGAUGAGAGGGCCCCUGCUAGAGGGAUGCGGUUGGGAAUUUGAACUCAGAGAGAUGCAUCGAAGGAGCUCAGCAAAUGUGAAGCCACCGAGGCUGGCGGUUUCUGUGUCUCUGACUUUAUAUUAUAAAAUGAUGAGUAACCACAUGCCAACGGAAUGGAGACCUGCCUUCGUUUUGGUGUCUGGGGGUUGCUUCUGUUCUGAAACCACCAUUUUAUGUAAUGGUCUCAAAUGAUGGUUGUUUGCCAUAAUAAAAGAAAAAAAAUCUUUCA
rnacentral:lncRNA from 1 species